ACCCUUUUAUAGUUCGUAAGUGUGAUGAUUGGAUGUUCACACUUUUGUGUGAUAUGUGCCUCUCAUAAACCUUGUUACAUCGGCACAUUGCCCAUCUGACA